GAUACUUGUUUAUGAUGCGAUGGAGGGACGGAGAAGGUUAUGCCAGCCUGGCGAUGGUUGUCCAGGUGGAAGGAUGUAGUUAGACUGAGUAGGCAAAUCCGCUCGGUUAUUAAUGAGAUCUGAUAGCAAGCUGAUUUAUCAGCGAAGUGGCAAAUACCAUGCUUCCAGGAAAAGCUUCUAAGCAUAGUCAUAAAUGAAUCG
rnacentral:rRNA from 1 species